rnacentral:tRNA from 2 species
GGCGCAUUCGUCUAGUGGCCUAGGACGCCGCCCUCUCAAGGCGGAGAUCACGGGUUCGACUCCCGUAUGCGCUA